GGGAGCCUGGGGUGGGGUGGGCAGGGAGAUGGGGACCCCAGCUGGGAGGCAGAAGAGCCUUGCCUGUGGGGGGUGUUGGUGGAUGCUGGGGUCCCUGCCCGAGGCCUGGGGUGAGGACUUCCCCUCUGUGGGGGCUGCAGGCGCUCACUUCUAUCCUGCGGAGGCAGCUCCUGAGGUUCCUCUCUCUCCCUCUGUAAAUCAGGAGCUAAGGGUCUGGAAUCUGGGAGGAGGAGCCGGGCGGGGCGCUGUUGGGGAAAUUUACAGCCGUGAUUUUCUCCUCCACAUUGGGAGCUAGGGGGCUGCAGUAACUCUGCUGUGGCUCCUGAUAAAUAUCGCCCACGCCCCUAGCCUGACACUCCAUUUACUGCGCAGGGGUAGGGGCGAGGCUACUGCAGGGAGGAUGAAGGGUAGACUUCAGCCAGAACUUCCCAGACACUGGGAGGGUUUGAGUACACAGAAAUGAGUGAGUGGUGGAGGCAGCAGUGUGCAGAGGCUGGGGGAUGGAUGGAUGGUCUGUGGGGUACCACUCAUCCAUUCGACAAAUAUUUAAUGAGUGUCUAAUAUGUGCCAGGCUCUGUCUGUGCCAGGUGCUGUUGAACAUGACAGAUGUGAGCUGAGCCCACUGGCGCCCAGGGGUGAGGUGGACUUUCAAGGAAUAACCCUACAAACAUGGGGAUGUCCUCGCUGGGAAUGGAAUUCUGAACCCAGGAAGAGAAGAGGGGGUCAUGAGACAAAAAGAAGGUCACUGAAAAAGAAGGACAUAGGGACAGAGGCUAUAGAGAGGCUUGGCUGUGACAGAUUGUCAGGGAGAAGGGGAGAGACUUUUGUUUUGAUGUUGUUUUCAAACAACAGCAGUUACCUGGAAAGAAACCAACCACUACCAACUAUAGCCUAAAUAUAAAGUGACUGAGGAAGCAUAAGAAAUGUGUCUCAAGCGAUGCAAAGCUGUGCGUGUAUCAACAUGAGCAAACUAAUUCAGAUGGGCAUGCAGAACACAAAUGGGAGGGGUGAUGGGGUUGACUGUAGUUAUUCUUUGCUUUUUGUUUCUUGCCUGAUGAAAAAUUUGCAAUUUUUGCACUGUCACAGAGCACUCAAAACUGUGAUUAUGUUUCACAAUUUCGACAGCUAGUUUCAUGUACUUUAAGUAGUUCUAUUCUCUUCUAGGCAAUUUGAACAAUUUGCUCUUCCCUGGGAAGUUAAGGGAGGACCACACUUGCCUCCACUUCCCACUAACCCUGCACGGAGAGCAAGCCAUACAGCUGGCAUUUGUUGAACACUGCUCUAAGUGUGUUGUGCAUAAGAACUCAUUUAUUCCUCAUAACAACCCAAGGAGGUAGGUACCAUUAGAAUAGAUGAGGAAGUGGAGUGUCAGACUGGUAGGUACCUGGUCUGAGGUGACCAGCUGGUAAAUGACAGGCUGGAAUUUGAACCAGGUAUCCUGGCUCCAUAUCCUGCAUUCUCAGCCGUUAGCUAGUCCAACUCUUGGUGUCUUACUUGAUGACAGCAGAACCAUACCCAGGCUUCCUGAUUUCUAGACUAGACACUUUCCUCCCCACCAUCUCCAUGUAGGUACAUCAUGGGACCAGAGUCCAUUUGCUGAAGGGAGAUGCAAUGGUAAGUUCUGCAGAUCUGCCCUGAAUAUGAGGCACAGGUGGGAGACAUGGGAGGAGAAAGCAGGCUCCUGCUGAGACCCGGACUCCAGCCCCUUUUCAUGCCCCAGGGAGCUCCGGCCAGGGAGGAAGAUCCAAUUUCCAGGCAUAGUUGAAACUGGAGCUGGGCUGCCCCCUCCCGCUUGCCUCCUGUGCCCCUCCCCUAUGUGUGCUGAUGUGGAAUAGACCGAGGGCACAAGGGGAAGUAUUGUUCCUGCCCCUACCUCCUGCGACCCAGCUCCCAGC
rnacentral:lncRNA from 1 species